rnacentral:rRNA from 1 species
AUUGAACGCUGGCGGCAGGCCUAACACAUGCAAGUCGAGCGGAGCGGGGGACGGGUGAGUAAUGCCUAGGAAUCUGCCGGGGAGUGGGGGAUAACGUCCGGAAACGGGCGCUAAUACCGAUUCCUAUAAGCUUCGCCUAGGUCGGAUUAGCUAGUUGGUGGGGUAAAGGCAUACCAAGGCGACGAUCCCUAACUGGUCUGAGAGGAUGAUCAGUCACACUGGAACUGAGACACGGUCCAGACUCCUACGGGAGGCAGCAGUGGGGAAUAUUGCACAAUGGGCGCAAGCCUGAUGCAGCCAUGCCGCGUGUAUGAAGAAGGCCUUCGGGUUGUAAAGUACUUUCAGCGGGGAGGCGUUACCCGCAGAAGAAGCACCGGCUAACUCCGUGCCAGCAGCCGCGGUAAUAC